GGUAAAAUGGCUGAGUUUAGGCAUUAGACUGUAAAUCUAAAGACAGGGGUUGGCCCCUUUUUACCA
rnacentral:tRNA from 1 species